AAGGCCAGACGCUGAUGCCCCAGCUCCUGCUGGGGAGACUCCUGCCACCUGCGACUGACCCAAGGACUGGCCAUACCUGCAGAGGCUGGAAGCCGACCAGAUGCUGGAAGAGUCACUAAGCCAACCGGUGCAAAGGGACCCAGAGGAGCUGCCCAGUUUGCCCCUCGCUCAGUAUCCCAAGGAGCCCAUGUGUGGGACGCUGUUGAAGACGCCGCUGAGACAGAGCCUCUGUCUCUUGGCAAAAAUCUAAUAAAAUAGACGAGCACGUUCUCGGAUAGAACGCCGAAGCAUUCGGACGUCUUUGGCUAAAAAGGGAAUUACAGCCACCUGAGGGGAAGGCGAAAGCAAGUCAAAUCUUCACCCCGCUGGGAGGCAGGUGCGAGAGCUUCCGGCCGCACCAGACAACCCCGCUCACGGCUGCGUCCAGGGGGUGCCGGAU